UGGAAUGGCUGCGGGUAUCCUUCACGCCCUUUAUAUUCAUAUUCCUCGAAUUGGUGAAUUCCACAUUAGAGCGGUAUGAAGCAGAAGGCGUGAGGAUUGAGAUUAUACCGCUCGAACCUGAUCAGCGCUCAUACCUGCGUAGGGAAGCCCCAGAGUCACCAC
rnacentral:ncRNA from 1 species